UUUUAGCCCAGAUGGCAGUGGAAAGCCCGGAACUUAUAAAAAGUAAUUUUCUUAACAGAAAAGAGCGACCAGCGAAAGCUCCUUUUAUGGCUUAGAAAAUACGUUUUGUAAGUGAGGACUUGUAACGUACAGCUGGAAAUAGC
rnacentral:sRNA from 1 species